rnacentral:rRNA from 1 species
UACGUAGGCAGCGAGCGUUGUUCGGAGUUACUGGGCGUAAAGGGUGUGUAGGCGGUUGUUUAAGUUUGGUGUGAAAUCUCCCGGCUCAACUGGGAGGGUGCGCCGAAUACUGAAUGACUUGGAGUGCGGGAGAGGAAAGUGGAAUUCCUGGUGUAGCGGUGAAAUGCGCAGAUAUCGGGAAGAACACCCGUGGCGAAGGCGGCACUCUGGGACGGUACUGACGCUGAGACGCGAAAGCGUGGGGAGCGAACAGG